rnacentral:lncRNA from 1 species
CUGCAAAAAACUUAUCCUGAAAUUAAAAUACACUCUCCUUUGUGUUGGAGUAAGUGUCAUAUACAUAAAAAACUAUAACAUGAACACAUGAAAAUCUAUGAAGCUUAAUGAUCAGAAAUAAUAUCAUUCAAGAUAAAAAUUUAGCUAUAAUCUUCCUUCAGAACUAAAAGAAGCAUAGCACAUAAAUAAGAGUAAACAUUCCACAAUGAUGGAAUGAUGAAAAAACUAAAACCCCAUGAAAUAAGAUAAAUCAUCAAGCUCCAGAACUGAGCCAAAUAGCUUCAUCCACAACUUAUAAUUAUAAAAACUGAAACUGACCUCAGCAACAGGAGUGAACCAUCUAAGACGGAACCUCGGAUUAGGAGAUUCAGCAUCAGUAAGGCGAGUCAAGUAACAGGUCUCGGAGAUAUUGAACUCAGAAGCCACAGCUUGUAGCCAUUCUUCAUCUCUAUCUUCCUCUAACAAACAAACCGCUGCUGGGUUCCCCUUGAAAGCUGAGUCGGUAAAAGCAUCCACCUGUCAAAGCAACAAAAAGAACCCAGUCCCAUUCAACCACAACGGAACAUCAAUCUAUAAAUACAAAAGAGGAGAUUACUAUUAGUUACCACAGAAUAUUGUACGAGCUUCUUGGCCAUGUUGCAGAAUAAAGAAUGAAGUUUAGAGUUUGACACGUGAAACUUGGAGUUGCAAAAGGUGAAGAGCUGAAACCCGAAACUGAGAUGAAAGAAAUGGUCAACACCUAACAGCCGCCAACCUACUGUCUUUUUCUUUAUAUUUUUUUUCCUUUUUUUCCACGGUUCUUCCCCUCUCGGACGCUUGCCACAUUCGAUUGGACUGUGCAUGAUACAAUAAGAUUUGUUUUUCUUAUAAUUAUCUUGUAUUCUGCCUACUACAACCAACUGAUUAACUUAAUUUAUAAGAAAAGAAAUUUCUUAAAUUACAUUUAUUGUAAAGAGCAGAAUCAAGUGAGGCAACGGAUAAAUUUUAUUUGACAGUGAAUUAUAUUAAAUAUAAUUUAGAGAGAUUCAUAAGAAAAUGAGCCCCAAUAUGAUUAACGAACUUGCACAAAUUAUAUGGAUUCUUUUCUCUGAAAAAUGUCUUUGUUCUGAAAAACAUCAGAUCAAAAGAAACCAUAGCGAAAAUACACGAACAAAAACACCUCAAAUAUCUUCAGCAGAACAAGUAGUGAUCAACAAAAUACAGUCCAAUGAAAUUGGCUUACUGUUUAUUGUAUUACAAUGAAGUGAUUUUAUCAUAUAACAUUGGAUAUCAGAUACCACCAAAUUGGAUGGUACAAAUGUAAAUUUUAUCUUAAAGAUGUCUUGUACAAGGUAUCGAAACAUGAUCAAGAAACACUCCAGGGAAUCAUUAUUUGCACGUAAUGAUUGACAUUUAUUGGAGUUGAUCACACACGCAUAAUGGAAAUCACUUGAAAUCUAAACUAACAGAGAGCCUUCCAUCACAGUAAUAGCUUUUCCUCGCAGCUGCACUCUCUGAUUCUGCUUGUCUACAUGAAUGUUCAAGAUCCCACUUCUUGGUGAUGCCUGAGUCAGGUAAAAUGUAAUCAACAUAUAACAAUUAGAAGGAAUAUGAAUAGACAUAAAUUAGAGAGAAAUGGGUGCAAAGAGAGUACCGCAUAAGCCACAAAAUCACACUUUCCAAGCUUUUGACUCCAAUAGGUUGCCAAAGCACAAUGUGCACUCCCACAAACGGGAUCCUGAUAUAAACAAGUCAUGUACAUAUAAGACUGUUAUUAGAACUGUUUCAAUAUUGACAGAGUUUUUGAAAAUUAUUUCCAUCUUACUUAUUGGAUCCUAAACUACAGUACCAUACAUUAAAGAAAGUUCUUUGUUCUCUUACAUAGACACAUUACUUCAAAUGCCAAAAAUCCUUCUUGAAAUCAAAACAGAGCAAUCUACACUAGACUUUAGAGGCAAUAUAUGUUUCGAAGUUAGCAAAUGGGUGAAAAGCUAGUAGGAAAGGAGCAAUAAUUUUGUUCACUUUCAGCUGUAACAUUUCACUCAAUUUGCAGGCCUUAUUACUCAUCAGAUUUUCUAAAACAGAAACGAUAUUCAAUGCACAUCUCCAUGUAGCAUGAGUUAUGACAAAUGUACAUGCUCAUAAUACAGUAGUAUAUAAACUCAUUCAUUAAAACCAACGAGUUAUUACCUCAUUGAUGCCAAAUUUAGGGCAGAAGAAUCGGCUAUAAAAAUCAAAUCCAGACUCUGGAGGAGCAAGCCCUGAAACAAUUAUGCCGCUUCCAGGACAUUUUCGUAUUUGAUCAAACUGUGGCUCCACGUCUGUAACAGAUUUCGCCGAUGGGAGCACGACCUGCAUAUUGUAGCCAACUUCAUUCAGAACAACUACUAACACUAUAUCCAAAUGAGUAAAGGGUUAAAAGAAAUUACAAAGAUAUCUUCUGAGGUAGUUGUUAUCUUCAUAUCCAUGACUGAAGAAACACUCAAAGCCUUAUGAAUUAAUGAAACCUCAGAAAAAUUGAAAUCAGUAGUUGGAACUGUAGGAAAAUCCAAUUCAAUAAAAUAGCACUCUCGUGCUUCGCCUUUCUGUGAAUUAGAGUCAUUCAUCGCCUUAACAUCUGGAACUUUUUUGGCUGUUAGAAUUCCAGACAGUGUGGCAAAUUCAAUUAUGUUGGAGUUUACCAAACCUCUCGAAAAAAGAGUGUGUGCAGCUGCUAAUGUUGCAUGACCACAAAGUUCAACCUGCAAAAAACUUAUCCUGAAAUUAAAAUACACUCUCCUUUGUGUUGGAGUAAGUGUCAUAUACAUAAAAAACUAUAACAUGAACACAUGAAAAUCUAUGAAGCUUAAUGAUCAGAAAUAAUAUCAUUCAAGAUAAAAAUUUAGCUAUAAUCUUCCUUCAGAACUAAAAGAAGCAUAGCACAUAAAUAAGAGUAAACAUUCCACAAUGAUGGAAUGAUGAAAAAACUAAAACCCCAUGAAAUAAGAUAAAUCAUCAAGCUCCAGAACUGAGCCAAAUAGCUUCAUCCACAACUUAUAAUUAUAAAAACUGAAACUGACCUCAGCAACAGGAGUGAACCAUCUAAGACGGAACCUCGGAUUAGGAGAUUCAGCAUCAGUAAGGCGAGUCAAGUAACAGGUCUCGGAGAUAUUGAACUCAGAAGCCACAGCUUGUAGCCAUUCUUCAUCUCUAUCUUCCUCUAACAAACAAACCGCUGCUGGGUUCCCCUUGAAAGCUGAGUCGGUAAAAGCAUCCACCUGUCAAAGCAACAAAAAGAACCCAGUCCCAUUCAACCACAACGGAACAUCAAUCUAUAAAUACAAAAGAGGAGAUUACUAUUAGUUACCACAGAAUAUUGUACGAGCUUCUUGGCCAUGUUGCAGAAUAAAGAAUGAAGUUUAGAGUUUGACACGUGAAACUUGGAGUUGCAAAAGGUGAAGAGCUGAAACCCGAAACUGAGAUGAAAGAAAUGGUCAACACCUAACAGCCGCCAACCUACUGUCUUUUUCUUUAUAUUUUUUUUCCUUUUUUUCCACGGUUCUUCCCCUCUCGGACGCUUGCCACAUUCGAUUGGACUGUGCAUGAUACAAUAAGAUUUGUUUUUCUUAUAAUUAUCUUGUAUUCUGCCUACUACAACCAACUGAUUAACUUAAUUUAUAAGAAAAGAAAUUUCUUAAAUUACAUUUAUUGUAAAGAGCAGAAUCAAGUGAGGCAACGGAUAAAUUUUAUUUGACAGUGAAUUAUAUUAAAUAUAAUUUAGAGAGAUUCAUAAGAAAAUGAGCCCCAAUAUGAUUAACGAACUUGCACAAAUUAUAUGGAUUCUUUUCUCUGAAAAAUGUCUUUGUUCUGAAAAACAUCAGAUCAAAAGAAACCAUAGCGAAAAUACACGAACAAAAACACCUCAAAUAUCUUCAGCAGAACAAGUAGUGAUCAACAAAAUACAGUCCAAUGAAAUUGGCUUACUGUUUAUUGUAUUACAAUGAAGUGAUUUUAUCAUAUAACAUUGGAUAUCAGAUACCACCAAAUUGGAUGGUACAAAUGUAAAUUUUAUCUUAAAGAUGUCUUGUACAAGGUAUCGAAACAUGAUCAAGAAACACUCCAGGGAAUCAUUAUUUGCACGUAAUGAUUGACAUUUAUUGGAGUUGAUCACACACGCAUAAUGGAAAUCACUUGAAAUCUAAACUAACAGAGAGCCUUCCAUCACAGUAAUAGCUUUUCCUCGCAGCUGCACUCUCUGAUUCUGCUUGUCUACAUGAAUGUUCAAGAUCCCACUUCUUGGUGAUGCCUGAGUCAGGUAAAAUGUAAUCAACAUAUAACAAUUAGAAGGAAUAUGAAUAGACAUAAAUUAGAGAGAAAUGGGUGCAAAGAGAGUACCGCAUAAGCCACAAAAUCACACUUUCCAAGCUUUUGACUCCAAUAGGUUGCCAAAGCACAAUGUGCACUCCCACAAACGGGAUCCUGAUAUAAACAAGUCAUGUACAUAUAAGACUGUUAUUAGAACUGUUUCAAUAUUGACAGAGUUUUUGAAAAUUAUUUCCAUCUUACUUAUUGGAUCCUAAACUACAGUACCAUACAUUAAAGAAAGUUCUUUGUUCUCUUACAUAGACACAUUACUUCAAAUGCCAAAAAUCCUUCUUGAAAUCAAAACAGAGCAAUCUACACUAGACUUUAGAGGCAAUAUAUGUUUCGAAGUUAGCAAAUGGGUGAAAAGCUAGUAGGAAAGGAGCAAUAAUUUUGUUCACUUUCAGCUGUAACAUUUCACUCAAUUUGCAGGCCUUAUUACUCAUCAGAUUUUCUAAAACAGAAACGAUAUUCAAUGCACAUCUCCAUGUAGCAUGAGUUAUGACAAAUGUACAUGCUCAUAAUACAGUAGUAUAUAAACUCAUUCAUUAAAACCAACGAGUUAUUACCUCAUUGAUGCCAAAUUUAGGGCAGAAGAAUCGGCUAUAAAAAUCAAAUCCAGACUCUGGAGGAGCAAGCCCUGAAACAAUUAUGCCGCUUCCAGGACAUUUUCGUAUUUGAUCAAACUGUGGCUCCACGUCUGUAACAGAUUUCGCCGAUGGGAGCACGACCUGCAUAUUGUAGCCAACUUCAUUCAGAACAACUACUAACACUAUAUCCAAAUGAGUAAAGGGUUAAAAGAAAUUACAAAGAUAUCUUCUGAGGUAGUUGUUAUCUUCAUAUCCAUGACUGAAGAAACACUCAAAGCCUUAUGAAUUAAUGAAACCUCAGAAAAAUUGAAAUCAGUAGUUGGAACUGUAGGAAAAUCCAAUUCAAUAAAAUAGCACUCUCGUGCUUCGCCUUUCUGUGAAUUAGAGUCAUUCAUCGCCUUAACAUCUGGAACUUUUUUGGCUGUUAGAAUUCCAGACAGUGUGGCAAAUUCAAUUAUGUUGGAGUUUACCAAACCUCUCGAAAAAAGAGUGUGUGCAGCUGCUAAUGUUGCAUGACCACAAAGUUCAACCUGCAAAAAACUUAUCCUGAAAUUAAAAUACACUCUCCUUUGUGUUGGAGUAAGUGUCAUAUACAUAAAAAACUAUAACAUGAACACAUGAAAAUCUAUGAAGCUUAAUGAUCAGAAAUAAUAUCAUUCAAGAUAAAAAUUUAGCUAUAAUCUUCCUUCAGAACUAAAAGAAGCAUAGCACAUAAAUAAGAGUAAACAUUCCACAAUGAUGGAAUGAUGAAAAAACUAAAACCCCAUGAAAUAAGAUAAAUCAUCAAGCUCCAGAACUGAGCCAAAUAGCUUCAUCCACAACUUAUAAUUAUAAAAACUGAAACUGACCUCAGCAACAGGAGUGAACCAUCUAAGACGGAACCUCGGAUUAGGAGAUUCAGCAUCAGUAAGGCGAGUCAAGUAACAGGUCUCGGAGAUAUUGAACUCAGAAGCCACAGCUUGUAGCCAUUCUUCAUCUCUAUCUUCCUCUAACAAACAAACCGCUGCCGGGUUCCCCUUGAAAGCCGAGUCGGUAAAAGCAUCCACCUGUCAAAGCAACAAAAAGAACCCAGUCCCAUUCAACCACAACGGAACAUCAAUCUAUAUACAAAAGAGGAGAUUACUAUUAGUU